UCAUCCACAAGCUCUAUCCUCCCUUCCCGAUGUUUCCUCACAUUCACAGGCUCCAUCCUCCCUCCGUGGUUCAUGCGUGUCCGCUAUUCAUGUCAUUGCCUAUAUUGUAUAUAACACAGCGGUCGUGAAUGGCAUGAAAGCAAGUUGGUUGCUUAUAGGUCAUCCGCAAGAUAGUGCAAAAGAAAAGAUGGCUGCAGUCCGUGCAUGGUUAUUGAUGGCAUUACUCGCAAGCAUUUGCUUGGUGAAA